rnacentral:rRNA from 1 species
UACUAGAGUAGCACUCGCAUAUCAAUAAGCGGAGGAAAAGAAACUAACAAGGAUUCCCCUAGUAACGGCGAGUGAAGCGGGAAGAGCUCAAAUUUGAAAUCUUAAAGGGUUUCCCUUUACGAAUUGUAGUUUAAAGAAGUGUUUUCUGUUGAGGUUUUGGUAAAAGUUCUUUGGAAUAGGACAUCAUAGAGGGUGAGAAUCCCGUAUUUGACCUUUACUUUCAACUUUGUGAUACACUUUCAAAGAGUCGGAUUGUUUGGGAAUGCAGUCCAAAAUGGGUGGUAAAUUUCAUCUAAAGCUAAAUAUUGGCGAGAGACCGAUAGCGAACAAGUACCGUGAGGGAAAGAUGAAAAGAACUUUGAAAAGAGAGUUAAACAGUACGUGAAAUUGUCAAAAGGGAAGCGUUUGACACCAGUGUUGUUUUUCUGAAAAUCAAUUAAAGAACUGUUUAUGCUAAGUUGUUUAGACUUUAUCAGCUAUCUGUUUAGUUUUGAGCUUUUCUUUAAUGCACUUUUCAGUUAACAAGUCAACAUCAAUUUCUUUUGCUGUAAAAAAGCUUGAGGAAGGUGGCUUGAGAUUCGUCUUAAGUGUUUAUAGCCUCUUGCCUAUGCAGUCGGAGAGAUUGAGGUCUGCAGCGUAGAUCCUUCGGGGCUAAAUGCAUUUGUGCUAAGUUAUAGCAUUUUAUAGGCAACUUGUUGACUAUGAUUUGUCUUGUAGCUUACUCGCUUAUGUUAUUUUACCUACGCUUAGGAUGUUGAGUCAUCACACAUCUCU